rnacentral:rRNA from 1 species
AUUGAACGCUGGCGGCAUGCCUUACACAUGCAAGUCGAACGGCAGCACGGGGCAACCUGGUGGCGAGUGGCGAACGGGUGAGUAAUGCAUCGGAACGUACCUUUCAGUGGGGGAUAACGUAGCAAAAGUUACGCUAAUACCGCAUAUUCUGUGAGCAGGAAAGCAGGGGAUCGCAAGACCUUGCGCUGAUUGAGCGGCCGAUGUCAGAUUAGCUAGUUGGUGAGGUAAAGGCUCACCAAGGCGACGAUCUGUAGCGGGUCUGAGAGGAUGAUCCGCCACACUGGAACUGAGACACGGUCCAGACUCCUACGGGAGGCAGCAGUGGGGAAUUUUGAACAAUGGGGGCAACCCUGAUCCAGCCAUGCCGCGUGAGUGAAGAAGGCCUUCGGGUUGUAAAGCUCUUUCGGCCGGGAAGAAAUCGCACGGGCUAACACCCUGUGUGGAUGACGGUACCGGAAUAAGAAGCACCGGCUAACUACGUGCCAGCCGCCGCGGUAACAC